UUGAAAAAGAAAGAUACGACACACGCAAUGACAAUGAAGAGACAAGUCCUUCCUCUCCUGCUGUUCCUUCUUCCGCACCAUGCCCAUAGUGCUAACACGUGCACAUAUUACACCUCGGAAAAAGAUACCCACAAGCGAUGGCCACAUGUUGGAGACCUCGAUAUGGAUGAUUCAAAGAAUAAUGGAGCGAGCUUGGUUGCAUUUGAUCAUGGUGUAAUGUUGGAUUAUCCACCCGGUGUAGGUUCUUGUGGAGGAAAGUAUCCCAUUUGGA